UGAGGGAUAUUGGGCAAUGGGCGCAAGCCUGACCCAGCGACGCCGCGUGGAGGACGACGGGCUUCGGCUCGUAAACUCCUUUUCCCGGGGACGAGACAAGGACGGUACCCGGGGAAUAAGUCUCGGCUAACUACGUGCCAGCAGCCGCGGUAAUACGUAGGAGGCAAGCGUUAUCCGGAAUUACUGGGUUUAAAGGGUGCGUAGGUGGGCUUAUAAGUCAGUGGUGAAAUCUCCAAGCUUAACUUGGAAACUGCCGUUGAUACUAUAGGUCUUGAAUUAUCUGGAGGUAAGCGGAAUAUGUCAUGUAGCGGUGAAAUGCUUAGAUAUGACAUAGAACACCAAUUGCGAAGGCAGCUUACUACAUAUAAAUUGACGCUGAGGCACGAAGCGUGGGGAUCAAACA
rnacentral:rRNA from 1 species